AAUUCGCCCUUAGAGUUUGAUCAUGGCUCAGAUUGAACGCUGGCGGCAGGCCUAACACAUGCAAGUCGAACGGUAACAGGAAGAAGCUUGCUUCUUUGCUGACGAGUGGCGGACGGGUGAGUAAUGUCUGGGAAACUGCCUGAUGGAGGGGGAUAACUACUGGAAACGGUAGCUAAUACCGCAUAACGUCGCAAGACCAAAGAGGGGGACCUUCGGGCCUCUUGCCAUCGGAUGUGCCCAGAUGGGAUUAGCUAGUAGGUGGGGUAACGGCUCACCUAGGCGACGAUCCCUAGCUGGUCUGAGAGGAUGACCAGCCACACUGGAACUGAGACACGGUCCAGACUCCUACGGGAGGCAGCAGUGGGGAAUAUUGCACAAUGGGCGCAAGCCUGAUGCAGCCAUGCCGCGUGUAUGAAGAAGGCCUUCGGGUUGUAAAGUCCUUUCAGCGGGGAGGAAGGGAGUAAAGUUAAUACCUUG
rnacentral:rRNA from 1 species